UACGUAGGGUGCAAGCGUUGUCCGGAAUUAUUGGGCGUAAAGAGCUCGUAGGCGGUUUGUCGCGUCUGCUGUGAAAACGCGAGGCUCAACCUCGCGCCUGCAGUGGGUACGGGCAGACUAGAGUGCGGUAGGGGAGAUUGGAAUCCUGGUGUAGCGGCGGAAUGCGCAGAUAUCAGGAGGAACACCGGUGGCGAAGGCGGGUCUCUGGGCCGAUACUGACGUGAGGAGCGAAAGCGUGGGGAGCAAACAGG
rnacentral:rRNA from 1 species